rnacentral:rRNA from 1 species
CCCAAGAGAUCGGGAUAACACCUGGAAACAGAUGCUAAUACCGGAUAACAACAGAUGAUGCCUAUCAACUGUUUAAAAGAUGGUUCUGCUAUCACUCUUGGAUGGACCUGCGGUGCAUUAGCUAGUUGGUAGGGUAACGGCCUGCCAAGGCGAUGAUGCAUAGCCGAGUUGAGAGACUGAUCGGCCACAUUGGGACUGAGACACGGCCCAAACUCCUACGUGAGGCAGCAGCC